UACGGGGGGGGCAAGCGUUGUCCGGAAUCAUUGGGCGUAAAGAGCGCGCAGGCGGUCGUAUAAGUCGAAUGUGAAAGCCCCUGGCUCAACUAGGGAGAGUCAUUCGAUACUGUUCGACUCGAAGGCAGGAGAGGGAAGUGGAAUUCCGGGUGUAGUGGUGAAAUGCGUAGAUAUCCGGAGGAACACCAGUGGCGAAGGCGACUUUCUGGCCUGUUCUUGACGCUGAGGCGCGAAAGCUAGGGGAGCGAACGGG
rnacentral:rRNA from 1 species